GCUCCCAUGGCGUAGUGGUCACUGCACUCGCCUUGCACGCGGGAGACCCGGGUUCGACUCCCAGCGGGGUCA
rnacentral:tRNA from 1 species